UAUAUAUAUAUAUAUAUAUAUAUAUAAAAGACAGCCCUAAAGGAAUAUAUGAACAGGCAAUUUACAAAAGAGGGAAUCCAAAAAGCUAACAAGCAUAUGAAGAGAUGCU